AGUAAAGUGCCUGAUAAAAGGAUUGUUUUGAUAGAGCAAAUUAUGUGAAUUUCACCUUUAUUA
rnacentral:tRNA from 1 species